GACGAACUGCCCAACGUUGUUCGGAAUCACUGGGCUUAAAGGGCGCGUAGGCGGCGAUACAAGUCAGGGGUGAAAUCCGGCAGCUCAACUGUCGAAGUGCCUUUGAUACUGUAUCGCUCGAGGGAGGUAGGGGUCUGUGGAAGCUUCUGGUGGAGCGGUGAAAUGCGUUGAUAUCAGAAGGAACGCCGGUGGCGAAAGCGACGGACUGGACCUUUUCUGACGCUGAGGCGCGAAAGCUAGGGGAGCAAACGGGGAUUAA
rnacentral:rRNA from 1 species